AUGUCGGUCGUCGCCGCUGCCGCCUCCACUCAUCCCAGCGCCACCGCCGACGGGUCCCCGCCGCAGAUGGCGACGACGCGUCUCGAGCGCGGGUCCCUGCUGGUCGGCGGCCGCGAGCUCAUCUCCCAAUGCCCGCCCGAGGUCACCCUACGCGCGGGCGUCGCCCUCGCCGCUCCGGGCGCCGCGUUCCUCGGCGCCCGGGCAGCGGCGCCGUCCAGCCGUCACGUCUUCUCCCUCGGCACCAUCCCCAAAGGAUGGAGAUGGCUGUCGCUGUUCAAGUUGAAGAUCUGGUGGAUGGCCCCGAAGACGGGCGCGGAGGCGGCGGGCGUGCCGGCGGAGACGCAGAUGCUGCUUCUGGAGAAGACGGGGAAUGGGGCCGAGGACACGGUGUACGCUCUGAUGCUGCCAGCCCUCGAUGGGGAUUUCCGGGCCAGCCUCCAAGGGUGUCCCGAGAAUGAGCUCCAAUUCUGCUUCGAGAGUGGUGAUCCUGAUGUGCAGACGAAGGAUGCUGUUGAUGCGGUAUUCGUCAACUCAGGGGACAAUCCUUUCAAGCUUAUGAAGGAAUCAAUCAAGAUACUGUCCAAGAUCAAAGGAACUUUCAGUCAUAUUGAGAGCAAGGAGACCCCUGCAAACUUAGACUGGUUUGGAUGGUGCACUUGGGAUGCAUUUUAUAAAGCUGUCAACCCAGUAGGGAUUGAAGAGGGCCUUCAAAGUUUGCGUGAAGGAGGCGCACCACCAAGGUUUCUGAUUAUAGAUGAUGGUUGGCAAGAAAUAGUUAACGAAUUCAAGGAAGUGAAUGGAGCUCUUCUUGAAGAGACUGUGUUUGCAGAGAGGCUGGUUGAUCUGAAGGAGAAUGACAAGUUUAGGGGAGAAGCCUGCAAGAAUCUGGGAGAUCUUGUCAAGAAAAUCAAAGAGACACAUGGAGUCAAGUACGUCUACGCAUGGCAUGCUUUACUUGGGUAUUGGGGAGGUGUCUGCACAUCAUCGGACGUGAUGGAGAAUUACAAUCCAAAACUAGUUUACCCCGUCCAGUCUCCUGGUGAUGUUGCAAAUUUGAGGGAUGUAGCCAUGGACAGCUUGGAGAAAUAUGGAGUUGGUAUCAUUGAUCCUGAGAAGAUAUAUGAAUUCUACAAUGAUCAGCACAGUUACCUUUCUAGUGUGGGUGUGGAUGGUGUGAAGGUAGAUGUGCAAAGUGUGAUGGAGACUCUCGGGCAUGGCUUCGGUGGUCGUGUUGCAUUAACUCGAAAGUAUCAACAUGCUCUUGAGGAAUCUAUUGCUCGGAACUUCAAAGGAAAUAACCUAAUAUGCUGCAUGAGUCACAGUUCAGACCACAUCUAUAGUGCCUUGAAGAGUGCAGUUGCUAGAGCAUCAGAAGAUUUCAUGCCUCGGGAGCCAACACUGCAAACUCUGCACAUUGCUAAUGUAGCAUUCAAUAGCCUUUUAUUGGGAGAAAUUUUCAUCCCGGAUUGGGAUAUGUUCCAAAGCAAGCAUGAAACAGCGGAAUUUCAUGGAGCGGCUAGGGCUCUAAGUGGAGGUGGUGUUUAUGUCAGUGACAAACCAGGAGUGCACGAUUUCACUGUUCUGAAAAAGCUCGUUCUACCAGAUGGCUCGAUUCUAAGAGCAAGGUAUGCUGGUCGUCCUACUCGCGAUUGCCUGUUCAAUGAUCCAGUCAUGGAUGGCAAAAGUCUUCUGAAAAUAUGGAACCUGAACAAUUUGUCUGCUGUCGUCGGAGUAUUCAAUUGUCAGGGAGCUGGAAACUGGACUUGGUUAGUCGAAGAAAUUUCACAUGUUCCCACCGCCGUUAACAUAACGGGUCAUCUCUCGCCAUCAGAUGUAGAGUCUCUCGAGGAGAUUACUGGUGAUGAGUGGAAUGGAGAGACUGCAGUAUAUGCUUUCAAUUCAUGUUCUCUUUCAAGGCUCCAGAAGCACCAAAGUUUGGAGCUUUCAUUGGUCACUAUGACAUGUGAGAUCUAUACCAUAUCACCGAUACAGUCAUUUCUGCACCAGGUUUACGGUGGGGCUGUUCGGUUCGCGCCGCUUGGACUGCUCAACAUGUUCAACUCCGGUGGCGCACUCGACAGUAUCACAGGCACAGUUGAUUCUUCAGCUACGACAGUUCAGAUCAAAUGCCGAGGGCCAGGACGUUUUGGGGCGUAUUCAUCUGCUAGACCGGCACUCUGUAGAGUUGAUGCGCAUGAAGUAGAGUUCAGUCAUUCUGAUGAUGGCUUGCUAGCAUUUGAUCUCUCAGAUGGAUCUUCCCACAGCAGCCUCUGGAACAUAGAGAUUCUCUACACAGCCUCCUGA
rnacentral:rRNA from 1 species